CAGCCUGAACCUCUGGUUGAUCACCUGAGGCGAGCCAUGAGUCAGCCACAGGAGCACAGGUAAAGGCAAUUCUCCUGUGCUGCUGGAAGGGGUGGAGCCUGGUUCCACCCCUCCUAGACCUAUUUAAGAGCUGGCUACCAGUAGGGAAGGAUCUCUUCUGGAGAUUGCCUCUGCUGGUGUUUUGUGAGUGAGCCUAGGAUACACCAGGCAUCCACGCUAGGCUGAUGUAGCCUUUUGAUAGCAGUGUUCAAAACUAAUUGCUGGAUCAUCUCCAGGAAAUUCCAAUCCAUCCUCCAGGUAGAGACUAGAUACUUUGGGAUUAAUGGCUUUCCUUCAGAGAGGUAUCAACUCUCUUACAAAUGCUACCUCGAGCACUUGGAAGAUGGAAAACGUAAGAUCAUGACUGUAGCCUGCUCUCAACAUGUGGUAGCAUCAAGAUCCAGUUGGAAUAGCUUAUAGGGACAACGUUAUAUGUGAGAUUAUGAUGAGAUACCAUGAGUGGUCGGAGAGUGAUGACUAAAGGAUGAUAAAGGGAUGUCAGCAGCGCUUUCUUGACAUCUGGAGAAGGGAUAAAUUGCUAUAAGUAGCAGCUGCCGCUGCUUUGCUCAGAGCUCUGCCAGAUGUCCCAAGUGCUCAGAGUAACAAAACAAAAGCCAAUAUGAAAGCUCAUUCUUUGAGGAUUUCUCUCCAUCAUGAAUCUUCCUCAUUCUAGUAAACAUAUUUGUGCCUUCAGUGACCAUAGCAUAGUACUGUGUGAUGUAAGUGCAUCACUGUGUGCAUUUGCUGUUUUCCUGUAAAUUACUAACUUCCUCUUUACCGUGACUGCACAGCAAGGCAACAAAACACGUGCUGAAAGCCAGAGCAGCUGUCUAUGCAAAGGCAGCAAGAAAGAGCGCGAUGAACACCUUGUGUCUGGAGGAGUCUCUUGUAUUGCACUUCAACUUCGUGCAGUUUAACCAAAUUCAGCCCUUGAAGGGGCAUUUCUCAUUGGGUGAGCAUCAUCUUCUUUGCCCUCUUACAGCAUAGGAACUUCCAGUCUGAGCAAAAGCCCAUCAAGCUCUUGAAUCAAUGAUGGCUGAUUGAAAACAAGAGAAUUGUGCAAAGGGAUUUUUACUACCACUUAAUUGACUGAUGCUGUUUUCACAGAAGGGGAAGUAUUGGAAACAAUGUUUAUUCCUGGAAGCUUAAGGAAGGCUCAGAAUUGCAUGUGAAUGGGAAAAAGGAGGUGUAACUGAAGACUAGGACAAGUUUGCCUCUUAUAUGUAUCAACUUUCGUAACAUCUGGGCUUGAGCCAUUAGAUCAUUUUGGUAUCACUAUUUUCUUCUGGAGUUCAAAAAUAUGACGUAGGCUAGAACAUGAUUCAGCCCCCGGCUGGUGCUGCCUGUGGCGUCUGAUUAUACAUUCAAGUGCAGAUAAAACUAUAAAUGUCCGAGUGAGAUUUCAACACUUGGAAAAACAAGAGAAUAAUAAUGAGAACAGCAGGCGUAAAAGGCCUGAAUGAGCAGAACGCAGAGAGAUGUUUUUAGACUACCUCCCCAGCAACAGCAGUUCAUUUGAUUGCACUUGAGAGGAUGAAAUAGUGGUAUAAGGGCAAUUUUGUUUUCGUAGCAGAUACAGAAAUUUGAACCCUUAUGGCAAAGAAGAUGAUCUUCCCCCAUCCACUUUGUCUCUAGCCCCCAAGUAGCCUUUGCCAUUCUGUAAUGAAAGAGAGAAGAAAAUCUGAGGGAGGACAGCUCCCAUGGGUUUGAGCCUAGAGAUUAGGCACGCAUACUCAGGUACCAGCUAUGUUUAUCAGUAAAUUAGUAGUGACAAAUUCAGUUCUAAAUGGUGACUCUAGAUCUCGGACAUCACUCUCAGAACCAUGAGGAUGCCAUAGUUGCCAUAUGGCUUCAUGCUAAGCCAAGUGCCUGAAAGUCUCACAUGAAGUGAUUGCACCAAUCUCCAGCUACAAGUCUGCUUCCUCAGUGCUGAUGGGAUGAAAAGAAUGACAAUGGGUACAUCUGCUGCAGUGAUCCUGGUCUCUCCUCGUCAAAAAAGGUCACACAGCAGAAGAAAGGGUAGAAGGUGCUGCUCAGUGCUGCCAGAGAAAAUCCUAGCCCUUGUACCCCACCUCCCACCCUGAGAAAAGAUAAGAAAUGAGGCAAUUGUCUGGGAGGGGGAUUCUGCCUUGAAUAUCACAAUCCACAUCUUGUGGUAGGAGACAAGAACAGGAAAAAGGAAGCACAUUUACUCAUCGUUAUGAUGUGGUACUUUAGCCACAUUCAGACAGUCACCAGAAAGCAAACGAUGAAGACCACAUAUUUCAUGUGACAAGACUCUUUCUCCACUUCUGCAUUUCUUUUACUUCCCUGAAAUCUACAACAAAUACAGUGGUGGGAAUAAAACCGCACAGCUGCAUUCUCUCUUUCAUCAAUUCUUAGUUUUCUUCCAAUCUUGAUGCUCUUUCCCUUCCUCUCUUGGAGGGGCAAUAUAUAUGAUGCAAUUGGCUUUAGCAGACAGAUGUGAUUGAUGUGGACAGAGAACUCUGCUGCUCCAAGAUAGACUAUGUAGAGUGGGAUAUGGGGAAAUUAUCUGAGAAGGAUACUACUGGAGAAAGCUGCUUUUGUGUUUUCAAGUAUUAACAAAAUAUUAAAAUAUAGGCAAGAAAGGUCACAGCUG